ACUCCUACGGGAGGCAGCAGUGAGGAAUAUUGGUCAAUGGGCGAGAGCCUGAACCAGCCAAGUAGCGUGCAGGAUGACGGCCCUAUGGGUUGUAAACUGCUUUUAUGUGGGGAUAAAGUGAGCUACGUGUAGUUUAUUGCAGGUACCACAUGAAUAAGGACCGGCUAAUUCCGUGCCAGCAGCCGCGGUAAUACGGAAGGUCCAGGCGUUAUCCGGAUUUAUUGGGUUUAAAGGGAGCGUAGGCUGGAGAUUAAGUGUGUUGUGAAAUGUAGACGCUCAACGUCUGACUUGCAGCGCAUACUGGUUUCCUUGAGUACGCACAACGUUGGCGGAAUUCGUCGUGUAGCGGUGAAAUGCUUAGAUAUGACGAAGAACUCCGAUUGCGAAGGCAGCUGACGGGAGCGCAACUGACGCUUAAGCUCGAAGGUGCGGGUAUCGAACAGGAUUAGAUACCCUGGUAGUCCGCACAGUAAACGAUGGAUGCCCGCUGUUGGUACCUGGUAUCAGCGGCUAAGCGAAAGCAUUAAGCAUCCCACCUGGGGAGUACGCCGGCAACGGUGAAACUCAAAGGAAUUGACGGGGGCCCGCACAAGCGGAGGAACAUGUGGUUUAAUUCGAUGAUACGCGAGGAACCUUACCCGGGCUUGAAUUGCAGAGGAAGGAUUUAGAGAUAAUGACGCCCUUCGGGGUCUCUGUGAAGGUGCUGCAUGGUUGUCGUCAGCUCGUGCCGUGAGGUGUCGGCUUAAGUGCCAUAACGAGCGCAACCCCUGUCUUUAGUUGCCAUCAGGUGAUGCUGGGCACUCUGGAGAUACUGCCACCGUAAGGUGUGAGGAAGGUGGGGAUGACGUCAAAUCAGCACGGCCCUUACGUCCGGGGCUACACACGUGUUACAAUGGCCGGUACAGAGGGACGGUGUAAUGUAAAUUGCAUCAAAUCUUAAAAGCCGGUCCCAGUUCGGACUGAGGUCUGCAACCCGACCUCACGAAGCUGGAUUCGCUAGUAAUCGCGCAUCAGCCAUGGCGCGGUGAAUACGUUCCCGGGCCUUGUACACACCGCCCGUCAAGCCAUGG
rnacentral:rRNA from 1 species